UUCUACUCUACUGGACUGAACUUCACCGCAAAUUUGGUUGUCUGAAAUGACCCAACCUAUCGUUCCGUGUUUUCACCAAAUUUAUUAGGACAUUUCAACUGGCAAAUCUGACUGACUGUUUUCUAUUGAACUUUUGAUGUGAGGAGGUGGAAAACUCAAAAAUAUCAG